rnacentral:rRNA from 1 species
UUCCGUAGGUGAACCUGCGGAGGGAUCAUUACCGAGUUUACAACUCCCAAACCCCAUGUGAACAUACCUGUUUCGUUCCCUCGGCGGUGUCCGGCAACGGCCCGCCAGAGGACCCAACAAACUCUUUUGAAUUUUUCAGUAUCUUCUGAGUAAAAAAAACAAUAAAUCAAAACUUUCAACAACGGAUCUCUUGGUUCUGGCAUCGAUGAAGAACGCAGCGAAAUGCGAUAAGUAAUGUGAAUUGCAGAAUUCAGUGAAUCAUCGAAUCUUUGAACGCACAUUGCGCCCGCCAGUAUUCUGGCGGGCAUGCCUGUUCGAGCGUCAUUUCAACCCUCAAGCUCUGCUUGGUGUUGGGGAUCGGCAAGGCGUCCUCCGGGUCGCGCCGUCCCCCAAAUAUAGUGGCGGUCUCGCUGUAGCUUCCUCUGCGUAGUAAUACACCUCGCUCUGGAGUCUCGGUGCGACCACGCCGUAAAACCCCCAACUUUUUUCUGGUUGACCUCGAAUCAGGUAGGACUACCCGCUGAACUUAAGCAUAUCAAUAAGCGGAG